rnacentral:lncRNA from 1 species
CAUCCCUUGACUUUAUGCUCCAACACAGCCUGCAAGAGUUAGGGUAGCUGUGGAACAUCUCCUGCCCUCAGAAGGCUGACCCUCAACAACCAGCCAGGGCUGUCGGUUUCUGGAUAGGAUGUCAGGUAGGGCCACCAGUUGGGAGAGAAUAUAGGACUGGUUAAAUUAGGACUGUGAGUGAAGAACAAUAACUGACUAGAAUGCUAAAUACGUCAAGUAGCACGUUGGGAUCAUUUUGUGCUCUGAAGACCACACAUUACUCUCACAUUCCCUUUAUGAUGCUUGGUCUACCCUUCUGGUCCUGUUAUCUCUGGGAGGCUGUUACAAAUGCCAUCUGUUCAUACUUCCCAGUGAGGACAAUGUUCCGGAUCCCAAGGAUGUGCAACAGAAGUUCAGUGGCAGCCUUGUGGCUGCCCUGGGUGCAUAUGGGCCACAGUUCCUGGCAUACUUCGGCUCCUUCGCCACAGUGGGUCUGCUCUGGUUUGCCCACCACUCACUCUUCCUGCAUGUCCGGAAGGCUACACAGACCAUGGGGUUGUUCAACAUACUGUCACUGGCCUUUGUGGGGGGCCUCCCUCUGGCCUACCAGCAGACCUCGGCGUUUGCCCGGCAACCCCGUGAUGAACUUGAGCGUGUGCGUGUCAGCUGUGCCAUCAUCUUCUUUGCCAGCAUCUUCCAGUUUGCCAUCUGGACUACAGCCCUGCUGCACCAGAGAGAAACACUGCAGCCAGCUGUGCAGUUUGGUGGGCAGGAACAUGCUUUCAUGUUUGCCAAGCUCGCACUGUACCCCUGUGCCAGCCUGCUGGCCUUUGCCGCCACCUGCCUACUGAGUCGGUUCAGCACAGCCAUCUUCCACCUCAUGCAGAUUGCAGUGCCCUUUGCGUUCCUGUUGCUCCGGCUCCUGGUACGCCUUGCCCUGGCAGGCCUUCAAGUCCUAUGGGACCUCUGGCCAGAGCGUCCCCAACAAGACCAGGGUGAACCCGAGACACAGUCCCAGCUCUUGCCUGCCUCCUGCUAAUGCCAAGAAAGCCACUCCUGCCUAUCGUAGUCAUACUGCAAAGGGUCUUGUGGAGAUGUCUUAGUACAAGUUUAUCGCGACACUGGAGUUGUGGAUAUAUUGGCCCGAGUAUUGUUUACACUGUGAAAUAUCAAUAUCUAUUUCAAAACUAUGAACAUUGUUCACACUUUGCAGUGAGGAGUUUCAUGGGAACUGAAUUUGUUUUUACCCAUUUACUUACCUACCUUGAUCACAACAUUGCCAGGGGAAUUUACUUGUCUAACUAACCUGAACAAGCUACUUUGGGCCGUCACUGAGGUAUUGUUUGAUGCAGCAGCAUGCAGCUAGGAUCAGAGGCCCAUCCCUCCUCCUUGUUCUGACCGGCAUGUGACCACACAGGCUAUCCUCCUCGGAGCGUUCGAGCAUCGAGUCUAGGCUAACUCAGGCUGAGACGCUCCUUUCUGGCUCACAUCCUCAAGAGUACAGAGCUUCCCUGGUGGGGCUGCCAGUCUGUCUGCCCACUCCUCUACCAGUUGUUAGACAGAGACAAGAGGCAGCCACGGGACAGCAAAGCCCACACUAUAUUUGGCCCAGAUAUAAAUUAGAUCACAUUCAGGUAGUGAUAAAUUUACAGACAAAGACAGGACCAGUAGACAGGACACACUCCACAAGAGGACAGUCUCACUUAAAUACAGAGGACAUGCUACACUGACCAUAAUUUACACACAGUUCUACAGAUUGAAAUAAAAAGGAAAAACUACAUCACAA